rnacentral:misc_RNA from 1 species
UCUCUCUCUCUCUUUGAUAGAUGUGCGUGCACAUUUUCCAAACAAUUUUUGAUCGAGUAUGUUAACUCUCCAUCAUCCUUUGUUGAUGAAAAGAGAUUCUCAUCUAUCGAGAAAACCCAUUAUUGUUCUCAUCCUGUGCAUUGUGCAAUACGUAUUUAUAUAUAAAUUAUUAACAGUUAAAUUUCUCAAGCUAAUAUCUCUCUAUCAGUGUUUUACCAUGAAAUCUUAAUGUUCAAUGGAUCAAUUGUAAUUCUUUAUGGAAGUGUACAUGUUCAAUGGGUCAAGAAAAGCAAUACAAUCCAGUGGAAAUUUUCAAAUUUUAUCAAGGUUAUAAUUCAGGCCAAAAAGAGAGAGAGAGAGAGAG